UCCGUAGGUGAACCUGCGGAAGGAUCAUUAAUUGCGGUAGUUUACUACUGUUUGAAGGGGGUGGAAACUUCUCAGGUCUCCCUGGGAAGAAGUACGCUUCUUUUCUUAACCCUUGACUUUUUGCGUACUCAUGUUUCCUCGGUGGGCUUGCCCACCGGUUGGACUAUUCUAUAACCUUUUUAAUUUUCAAUCAGCGUCUGAAUUAUCAUAAUAAUUACAACUUUCAACAACGGAUCUCUUGGUUCUGGCAUCGAUGAAGAACGCAGCGAAAUGCGAUAAGUAGUGUGAAUUGCAGAAUUCAGUGAAUCAUCGAAUCUUUGAACGCACAUUGCGCCCCUUGGUAUUCCAUGGGGCAUGCCUGUUCGAGCGUCAUUUGUACUCUCAAGCCUAGCUUGGUGUUGGGUGUUUUGUCUUUGCCAUGCUUAGACUCGCCUUAAAUUCAUUGGCGGCCCAAAUAUAUUGGUUUGAAGCGCAGCACAUUUUGCGAUUUUAAGCUUAUAGCUAUUGGAAUCCAUUAAGAUUACUUAACACUUUUGACCUCGGAUCAGGUAGGGAUACCGCUGAACUUAAGCAUAUCAAUAAGGCGGAGGGGAAGUCGACUGGCCAAGGGCACACAGGGGGGGAUA
rnacentral:rRNA from 1 species